AGGGCGCAUGGUGGAUGCCUUGGCUCACGGAGGCGAUGAAGGACGUGGUAAGCUGCGAAAAGCUACGGGGAGCUGCAAACGAGCAUAGAUCCGUAGAUGUCCGAAUGGGGCAACCUGUUAUAGUGAAGCUAUAACAUCCCGCAAGGGAGGGCAACCUGGGGAACUGAAACAUCUAAGUACCCGGAGGAGAAGAAAACAAAAGUGAUUCUGCGAGUAGUGGCGAGCGAAAGCGGAAGAGUCCAAACUCUUAAUGUAAUUGAGAGGGUUGUAGGACCCGAGGAAUAUCAGAGGAAGGAAGUGGAACAUAUUGGAAGGUAUGACCAUAGGGGGUGAGAGUCCCGUACACGUAUGAGAAUCUGGUAGUUGGGUAUCCUGAGUAGGGCGGAGCCGGUGGAACUCUGUCUGAAUUAGCCAGCACCAUCUGGUAAGACUAAAUACUCCCGUGAGACCGAUAGUGAACAAGUACUGUGAAGGAAAGGUGAAAAGAACCCCGAGCAGGGGAGUGAAAAGAACCUGAAACCAUGCGCUUACAAGCGGUCGGAGUCUUCGAUGCGAAUCGGGGAUGACGGCGUGCCUUUUGCAUAAUGAGCCUACGAGUUACACUUCAAUAGCGAGCAUAACCUUUUAAGGAGGGCAAGCGUAGCGAAAGCGAGUCUUAACAGGGCGGAAGAGUUAUUGGAGGUAGACGCGAAACCGAGUGAUCUACCCAUGGGCAGGUUGAAGUUACGAUAGUCUCGUAAUGGAGGACCGAACUGGUGAACGUUGAAAAGUUUUCGGAUGACCUGUGGGUAGGGGUGAAAGGCUAAUCAAACUCGGAGAUAUCUCGUACUCCCCGAAAUGCAUUUAGGUGCAGCGUUCAGAUAAGAGUGUCAUGGAGGUAGAGCUACCAAUAGGGCUAGGGGGCUUCACCGCCUACCAACCCCUGAUGAACUCCGAAUGCCAUGACAUUAUACCGGCAGUGAGGCUAUGGGUGCUAAGGUCCAUGGCCGAGAGGGGAACAACCCAGACCAACAGCUAAGGUCCCUAAAUUGAUAUUAAGUUGAAAAGAACGAUGUGAGGAUGCAUUGACAGCUAGGAUGUUUGCUUGGAAGCAGCAAUUCAUUUAAAGAGUGCGUAACAGCUCACUAGUCGAGCGUUCUUGCGCGGAAAAUAAUCGGGCAUCAAAUAUCAUACCGAAGCUUUGGAUUCAGAUUAAACUGACUGGUAGGGGAGCAUUCCAAACUAUGUUGAAGGUGAGCUGUGAGGCUUGCUGGAGUGUUUGGAAAAGCAAAUGUAGGAAUGAGUAACGAUAAACCAGGUGAGAAACCUGGUCGCCGUAAGACUAAGGAUUCCGGGAUCUAUGGUAAUCAGAACCGGGUUAGUCGGGUCCUAAGGUGUAGCCGAGAGGCGAAGCCGAUGGGGAACAGGUUAAUAUUCCUGUACAUGUGUUAUCUGUGAUGGGGUGACGAAGGAGCGUAAGGUUCGCCAACUGACGGAAUAGUUGGUUAAAGGGUAAAGGUGCUGAGAGUACAGGCAAAUCCGUACUUGAGCUGAAGCCUGAUAGUACAUGAGUCUUUAGGGACGAGUGAUAGUGACCGUGAGCAAACUUCCGAGAAAAACCUCUAAACUUCAGGGUAACACAUCCCGUACCGUAAACCGACACAGGUAGUCGAGGAGAGUAUCCUAAGGCGCUCGAGGGAGACAUGGUUAAGGAACUAGGCAAAAUAGACUCGUAACUUCGGGAGAAGAGUCGCUCGAUAGUGAUAUUGAGCCGCAGUGAAGAGGCCCAGGCGACUGUUUAACAAAAACACAGGACUCUGCGAAAUCGUAAGAUGAAGUAUAGGGUCUGACACCUGCCCGGUGCUGGAAGGUUAAGGAAGGUGCUUAGCGCAAGCGAAGGUAUUGACUGAAGCCCCAGUAAACGGCGGCCGUAACUAUAACGGUCCUAAGGUAGCGAAAUUCCUUGUCGGGUAAGUUCCGACCUGCACGAAUGGUGUAACGAUCUGGGCACUGUCUCGACCAUGUUCUCGGUGAAAUUGAAGUAUCGGUGAAGAUGCCGGUUACCCGCAAUGGGACGAAAAGACCCCGUGAACCUUUACUAUAGCUUCACAUUGGGUUUGAAUAUAGAAUGUGUAGGAUAGGUGGGAGACUAUGAAGUGGGCACGCUAGUGUUUGUGGAGUCGACCUUGAAAUACCACCCUUUUUAUAUUUAGAUUCUAAUCCUGGAAGGGAGACAGUGUGUGGUGGGUAGUUUGACUGGGGUGGUCGCCUCCAAAAGAGUAACGGAGGCUUGCAAAGGUGCACUCAGCAUGGUCGGUAAUCAUGCGUAGAGCGUAUUAGUAUAAGUGUGCUUGACUGAGAGACCGACGGGUCGAACAGGAACGAAAGUUGGCUAAAGUGAUCCGGUGUUUCCGCAUGGAAGGGACAUCGCUCAAAGGAUAAAAGGUACUCCGGGGAUAACAGGCUGAUCCUACCCAAGAGCUCAUAUCGACGGUAGGGUUUGGCACCUCGAUGUCGGCUCGUCACAUCCUGGGGCUGGAGAAGGUCCCAAGGGUUGGGCUGUUCGCCCAUUAAAGUGGCACGCGAGCUGGGUUCAGAACGUCGUAAGACAGUUCGGUCUCUAUCUAUUGCGGGCGUUGGAAUAUUGAGGAGAUCUGACAUUAGUACGAGAGGACCGUGUUGGACGUACCGCUAGUGUACCAGUUGUGCCGCCAGGUGCAUCGCUGGGUAGCUAUGUACGGAACGGAUAAGCGCUGAAAGCAUCUAAGCGCGAAGCCAACUCCAAGAUGAGUAUUCCAUAGGGUCGUGGGAGACUACCACGUUGAUAGGCUACAGGUGGAAGUGCAGUGAUGUAUGGAGCCGAGUAGUACUAAUUGCCCGGAAGCUUCUUAU
rnacentral:rRNA from 1 species